rnacentral:rRNA from 1 species
GAUGAACGCUGGCGGCGUGCCUAAUACAUGCCAGUCGAGCGAACAGACGAGGAGCUUGCUCCUCUGACGUUAGCGGCGGACGGGUGAGUAACACGUGGAUAACCUACCUAUAAGACUGGGAUAACUUCGGGAAACCGGAGCUAAUACCGGAUAAUAUAUUGAACCGCAUGGUUCAAUAGUGAAAGACGGUUUUGCUGUCACUUAUAGAUGGAUCCGCGCCGCAUUAGCUAGUUGGUAAGGUAACGGCUUACCAAGGCAACGAGGCGUAGCCGACCUGAGAGGGUGAUCGGCCACACUGGAACUGAGACACGGUCCAGACUCCUACGGGAGGCAGCAGUAGGGAAUCUUCCGCAAUGGGCGGAAGCCUGACGGAGCAACGCCGCGUGAGUGAUGAAGGUCUUCGGAUCGUAAAACUCUGUUAUUAGGGAAGAACAAAUGUGUAAGUAACUAUGCACGUCUUGACGGUACCUAAUCAGAAAGCCACGGCUAACUACGUG